rnacentral:rRNA from 1 species
UAGGGAAUCUUCCGCUUNUGGACGCAAGUCUGACGGAGCAACGCCGCGUGAGUGAAGAAGGUUUUCGGAUCGUAAAACUCUGUUGUUAGAGAAGAACAAGUGCUAGAGUAACUGUUAGCGCCUUGACGGUAUCUAACCAGAAAGCCACGGCUAACUACGUGCCAGCAGCCGCGGUAAUACGUAGGUGGCAAGCGUUGUCCGGAUUUAUUGGGCGUAAAGCGAGCGCAGGCGGUUCCUUAAGUCUGACGUGAAAGCCCCCGGCUCAACCGGGGAGGGUCAUUGGAAACUGGGGAACUUGAGUGCAGAAGAGGAGAGUGGAAUUCCAUGUGUAGCGGUGAAAUGCGUAGAUAUAUGGAGGAACACCAGUGGCGAAGGCGACUCUCUGGUCUGUAACUGACGCUGAGGCUCGAAAGCGUGGGUAGCAAACAGGAUUAGAUACCCUGGUAGUCCACGCCGUAAACGAUGAGUGCUAAGUGUUGGAGGGUUUCCGCCCUUCAGUGCUGCAGUUAACGCAUUAAGCACUCCGCCUGGGGAGUACGACCGCAAGGUUG